AGAGUUUGAUCCUGGCUCAGGAUGAACGCUGGCGGCGUGCCUAAUACAUGCAAGUCGAACGCUUCACUUCGGUGAAGAGUGGCGAACGGGUGAGUAAUACAUAAGUAACCUGGCAUCUACAGGGGGAUAACUGAUGGAAACGUCAGCUAAGACCGCAUAGGUGUAGAGAUCGCAUGAACUCUAUAUGAAAAGUGCUACGGGACUGGUAGAUGAUGGACUUAUGGCGCAUUAGCUGGUUGGUAGGGUAACGGCCUACCAAGGCGACGAUGCGUAGCCGACCUGAGAGGGUGACCGGCCACACUGGGACUGAGACACGGCCCAGACUCCUACGGGAGGCAGCAGUAGGGAAUUUUCGGCAAUGGGGGAAACCCUGACCGAGCAACGCCGCGUGAAGGAAGAAGUAAUUCGUUAUGUAAACUUCUGUCAUAGAGGAAGAACGGUGGAUAUAGGGAAUGAUAUCCAAGUGACGGUACUCUAUAAGAAAGCCACGGCUAACUACGUGCCAGCAGCCGCGGUAAUACGUAGGUGGCGAGCGUUAUCCGGAAUUAUUGGGCGUAAAGAGGGAGCAGGCGGCACUAAGGGUCUGUGGUGAAAGAUCGAAGCUUAACUUCGGUAAGCCAUGGAAACCGUAGAGCUAGAGUGUGUGAGAGGAUCGUGGAAUUCCAUGUGUAGCGGUGAAAUGCGUAGAUAUAUGGAGGAACACCAGUGGCGAAGGCGACGAUCUGGCGCAUAACUGACGCUCAGUCCCGAAAGCGUGGGGAGCAAAUAGGAUUAGAUACCCUAGUAGUCCACGCCGUAAACGAUGAGUACUAAGUGUUGGGAGUCAAAUCUCAGUGCUGCAGUUAACGCAAUAAGUACUCCGCCUGAGUAGUACGUUCGCAAGAAUGAAACUCAAAGGAAUUGACGGGGGCCCGCACAAGCGGUGGAGCAUGUGGUUUAAUUCGAUGCAACGCGAAGAACCUUACCUGGUCUUGACAUCCACGGAAGUUUUCAGAGAUGAGAAUGUGCCUUCGGGAACCGUGAGACAGGUGCUGCAUGGCUGUCGUCAGCUCGUGUUGUGAAAUGUUGGGUUAAGUCCCGCAACGAGCGCAACCCUUAUCCUUUGUUGCCAGCGGUCCGGCCGGGAACUCAAAGGAGACUGCCAGUGAUAAACUGGAGGAAGGUGGGGAUGACGUCAAGUCAUCAUGGCCCUUACGACCAGGGCUACACACGUGCUACAAUGGCGCAUACAAAGAGAAGCGACCUCGCGAGAGCAAGCGGACCUCAUAAAGUGCGUCGUAGUCCGGAUUGGAGUCUGCAACUCGACUCCAUGAAGUCGGAAUCGCUAGUAAUCGUGGAUCAGAAUGCCACGGUGAAUACGUUCCCGGGCCUUGUACACACCGCCCGUCACACCAUGGGAGUGGGUUGCAAAAGAAGUAGGUAGCUUAACCUUCGGGAGGGCGCUUACCACUUUGUGAUUCAUGACUGGGGUGAAGUCGUAACAAGGUAACCGUAGGGGAACCUGCGGUUG
rnacentral:rRNA from 1 species